rnacentral:lncRNA from 1 species
CAAAUUUAAUAGUAAUCAAGAACUCGAUUCCAGGAAUAUCUCCCAAUUAACAAGGUAAGCCCCAGCCUAAGCAGAAAGAAGAAGAAAAUACAUAGCAUGCCUCUCUCCUCUUACUAUACUUAUUUAUACACAUCCUCACUAGCUGUCCUGUUCUUGUAUUCGAGAUUCCUGGGAACUAAUUUCUACUAUUUUGCCAAGUGUCCUUCUUUGUCCAAUUCCCCAGCCCUUGCUUUGUUAUUUCUGAAUCGUUUCCUGUAAUAGACCCUCAGCAGAAUGGCCUUUGGGCUUGGGUUCAUAAUCUGAUGAGGAACGGCCUUGUCCUCAAGGUUGAAAUUAGAAAAUUGAACAUAAUCGAAAUAGUUCAUCCAAGAAGCAUCCUCAGAAGUUCUGUUCUUCCAUUUAACUAAGAGUUGUUGUAUGGCUUGGCCUUGACCAGAUUGAAUGCGACUAUCAAGGAUAGCUUCAGGUUCACAAUUGUCUUCCAUUAUUUCCAAUCCCUUCGGAAUCUCAGUUAAAACCGGGUGUUGGCCAUUUUUUUUUUCAGCCGAGAAACAUGAAAAACUGGGUGUAUUUUAGAUUCUAGUGGCAAUUGCAAACGAUAUGCGACAGGUUCUACUGCGAAAAUAAUACAUAAUACGGAAGGGAUCAAAAUACCUAGCAGCUAAUUUUUUAUUGAUAGGGCCAUUCAAAGAGCUUUGUCUGUGUGGUCUCAGUUUGAAAAAAAACAGAGUCCCCGACAUUGUAGUGAACUUCCCUUUGAUGUUGGUUGGAUGCCCUGAUCAUUCUUUGUUGUGCCCAGCUGAGAUUGUAAGCAAGCUGCUUUAAUAACUCAUCUCUGGUUUGUAGUUCUUGGGCCAAUUCUUCCGAAGUAAGGCAGCGGAAAUAUGUUUCUAAUCCCCUAUUUAACACUUCAAUCUGGCCAUCAGAUUUUGGAUGAUAGGCUGUGCUCAUAUCCAACUGGGUGCCUUGAAGUCUAAACAAUUUUGUCCAGAAAUUAUUGAGGAAUAUAGGGUCUCGGUCGUUGAAUAUGGACUUGGGAAUUCCAUGAAGUCGGACCACUUCUUUUACAAACACAAUUGCCACCAUUUUUGCUAAGUAGGGAUGACUAGGAGGAAAAAAGUGUCCAUAUUUGAUAAAACGAUCAACCACAACCAAAAUGGUAUCAGGACCUUGGGAUUUUGGAUGAAAUCCAUAGAAAUAUCCUUCCAUACACUAUUCGGGAUAGGAAGCGGCUGAAGCAAUCCCGCCGAUGAACUGGUCUCAUACUUGUGUUUUUGACAAACCAAAUAUUCAGCCACGUACUUCUAAACAGUUAUCAUCAUUCCAGGCCAAUAUAAAUUUGCUACAUUUCUUUGAUAUGUUCUAAAUGCAUUGGAGUGUCCUUCCGAGGGAGAGUUAUGGAAUUUAUGCAACAGACAUGGAAUACAAAAAGAGGAUGAAGGGAUAACAAGUUGGCCCUUAUAGAAUAACCGAUCUUGCACCAAGGAAUAUGGAGUAUAUCUUGAGGUUUGACUUUUAAGCCUUUGAAUGAUUGUCAACAGUGAGUAUCCUGCUCAAUUUCCUUAACAACAACAGCCCAAGCAAUCCAUUGAGGUGAAGAUAGUAAAUUUAAUUCUAUGUCUUUCAUGUUUCCGAGAUAAAGCGUCUGCUGCAGAAUUGGAAGAGAGCCAGGUUUGUAUACUAUGGAAAAAUCAUACCCCAACAACUUGAUUGCCCAUUUCCUUUGUGCUAGAAUAGUAAUAUGUUGAUGCAAGAGGUACUUCAAACUGCUUUGAUCAGUGAAAACUAGAAACUUUCGGCCUAAUAAAUAAGGUCUCCAAUGGUGUACAGCUAAGACUAGGGCCAUCGAUCUCUUUCAUACGUGGAUUGAACUUGGAAAUGAGAUGAAAGAGCUUUGCUGAAAUAUGCAAUUGGUCGAUGCUCUUGCAUCAAAACAACACCAAUUCUUGAUCCAGAAGCAUCGCAUUCCAACAUAAAUUGUUUGGAAAAAUCUGGAAUUGCGAGAACAAGAGAAGUAGUCAAGGCUUGCUUAAGUGUUUCAAAUGCGGUUUGAGUUUCGGCUGUCCACUGCAAUCUUCCUUGGCCUUCUUUCUUGAGCAGUUGAGUCAGUGGUUUGGCAAGCACCCUAUAAUUUCUAAUAAACCGUCGGUAAUAGCCGGUUAAUCCAAAAACCAUUUGACUGCUAUUAAUGACUUCACCGUAGGCUAAUUUAGAACCUCAUAAACCUUUAAAGGAUCCAUAGCCACCCCUAUGGAUGAAACAACAUGCCCUAAAUAUUUAAUCAUAGUACUUCCAAAUGAGCUUUUCUUCCUGUUGAUGAAGAAUUGGUUGUUCAAUACAAGCUGUAGGAUGGUCUUUAAAUGGACUAAAUGACCAUGUUUUACCGUAUAUAAAAAUGUCGUCGAAGAACACAAAAACAAACCGUCGAAGGUAAGGGCGAAACAGAUAAUUUAUUGUGGCCUGAAAUGUUGCUGGAGCAUUGGUUAAGCCGAAAGGAAUUACCACAAACUCAAACUCAUAGUGUCCUAAAUGAGUGCGAAAGGCUGUCCUGAAACCUUGAUUUGAUGAUAGCCGGAUUUGAGAUCUAGCUUUGAAAAAUAAUGUGCUCCAAUCAGUUCAUCUAAAAGCGUAUGGGGAUCGAUCAAAUGUUUAAGAUGUGAUAAUCUACAUAAAAACGCCAACUCUUAUCUUUCUUUCGUACCAGUAGGACUACGCUGGAGAAUGGACGGGAAUUUGGGCGAAUAAUUCCUUCAAUCAACAUCUCAGUAACCAUCCUUUCUAUUUCAUCUUUUUGAAAAUGCCCAUAUUGAUAAGCCUUGACAUUAACAGCAGUGGUACCCACAGAUAAAGGAAUGAUGUGAUCAGUAGGCCUUGCUGGUGGAAGAGACAAGGAUUUGCAGAAAAGUGGAUUAAAGUUGACCAAGAGCGAGUCAAUCUCUGUCUGUUGGAACUCAAUGAUCUCAGUGUUGAACAAGCAAAAUUUCUCCAUAUUUGUCCUUUGCCACAAAAAAACUGAAUAUUCGAUAUCUGCCAGUUUAUGUAAUAUGCAGAUAUGCUUGCCUUUGUUUGAGAACCCUUGCCACUGAGAGUAAUAGAUUUGUGCUGGUAAUUUAACGUCAUCUCCAUGAUAAGCCAAUUAACUUUGACUUCCCCCAAGGUUUGUAGCCAUGCAAUCCCAAGAACUAGAUCAACCCCUCCUAAAGGAAAAAUGAAACAAUCAGCCAAAAUCUGCAUGUUUGCCAAGUUCACAGAAAUUGCUCGACAUACUCUUGAGGAUUCUACUCUGGGUCCAUCUCCUAAUCGAACCCAAAAAAGAGGAGUCGCUUCAAUAGGUAGAUUCAAUUUUUUAGCCAAGGUGCUCGAGAUAAAAUUAUAACUUGCCCUGCUGUCAAUCAUAAUCGAGAUCGGAUGACCGGAUAUUUGCCCAUGUAAUUUCAUAGAGUUGGGAGAAGAAAUACCUCCCACCGAAAAGAAAGAAAGUUCCAUGGCAAAGAAACUAGCUUCAUCGAUAAUAUGGACCACGGGAGAAACACUAGAAGGAGGAGAAUCAGAAUCUAAAUCUGGUGGGGUGGGUUCAUCAUCACUAACAAUCAAGGCUCGCAAGGUUUUGUUGGGCACUUAUGCAUGGGGUGGAAAGGUUGUUUACAUUUGUAAAUAGAGGCCUUUGGCUCUUAAAUCAAGGAACUCUUAGUGAGAAUAGUGCCUUGUACCCCUGAAACGAGGAGAAGGUCGAGAAGAAUGAGGUGAGGAAGGCGGUUGUGAGGAAGGCAGUGGUAGGGAUUUUGGUAGAGGGGGUGACAGAAUGUGGGGAAGGUAGGGACUGGGUUGGUGAAAUAUAGGUGAUUGGGUUGGGCUUAUAAACUGAGUUAUUGACCUAUGUCUUCACUCAAUGGUAAAAGGAGAAGCCCACCAAUGGACACCAUCUCCUGUUGGCUUGCCGUGGAUAGGAGAAGGCUGGAAAAAUUGCAGUUCUGUCUCGAUAUCUUGAGCAAGAGUCAUCGUUCUGGAAAUAUUGAGUGUUUCAUGAGAACAGAUUCUAACUCGAAUUUCAUCCUUGAGUCCGCUUAAGAAAAAUUUCAUAUAUUGUUGAUCAGUCAAACAACUAAAUUCAUUGAUAUAGUCAUCGAUGGAGGUAUGCUGCAGGACGGUCGCCAAUCAUUCAUAUGGAUUGAUACGGCGAUCUCCGCCAUAGCAAAGUAGGAGUUCUUGAAUAAAUUAAUUCCAUGAAAAAGUGGCAUGAUAUUAGCGUAACCAAUGCAUCCAAUGUAAUGCAGCCUCUUCCAUACAAACAAAAAUGAGUUGGACUUUCAAAUUUUCAGAAGUUUGAUGAAGAGUGAAAUAUUGUUCAGUCCAAGCAAUACAUCCCACGGGGUCAUUGCCAUCAAAAUUUGGGGGUUCAAUCUGCUAUCGAGGAAUAGAGGUGUUGCCGGAGGUCGGGGAAGGGUGAGAAGUAGUAGCAUCCUCUGUUAUAGCUUUCCCACGAGACAUGGAAAUGAUGAGUGAUUUCAGCCUAUCAAAUCUUUUCUCUUGUUCUGCUUUAAAAGUGGAAAAACGUUGAUCUUGAUUGAUCUUGAGGGUGGCAAACAGGGCUUCCAUAUCAUGUAAGCUCCUCUCCAUUUGAUCUACUCGUCCCUCCAUUCUGGUUUUGGUUUUGGGCAUGGGGGAAGAGCUCCGGUAGGUCAGACCAAUUGAUAGGGUUAGGAACUUAAUCAAGAGUUGCAAGAGACAAAAAUGGAAAAAUAUUUGUAUUGAGCUUAGAAUUCGAUUCCAGGAGUAUCUCCCGACUAACAAGGUUAGCCCCAGCCUAAGCAAAAAGAAGAAGAAAAUACAUAGCAUGCCUCUCUCCUCUCACUAUACUUAUUUAUACACACCCUCACCAGCUAUCCUGUUCUUGUAUCCGAGAUUCCCGGUAACUGAUUUCUACUAUUCUGCCAAGUGUUCUUCAUCUAAUUCCCCAGCUUCCAGCCCUUGCUUUGUUAUUUCUGAAUCAUUUCCUGUAAUAGACCCUCAGCGGAAUGACCUUUGGGCUUGGGUUCAUAAUCUGAUCUCUAACAGCUUCUAUGCAUGACAUUACAGUUUUGUCUUCUGUUAUCUUUCAUGGUUUACUUUUUCUUCCCCAUAUUCAUGCAAACUGUUGCAUUAUAAAUUUAGUUCCUAACUGGAACAUGGAGAUUUUUGCUAUUGGGUCUUAUGCGAUAGUAUGAUCAACUAAUUCAAAAUUCCUUCUUUUUUCUUUUUUUUUUUCCUUUUUUCCCCCAAACAUUCAUAUUUGUCCAAAGACAGGUAAAACCUUUCCAUUGAACUUUCCCGUCUCACCUCUGAUUCAUUUUAGUAAAUUUGAUCCUUCGACAUUAGUUGAUCUCUGCUAUGGAAUGUCAGCUGUGCAUAUUUGUAAAUUGUUUACUCCUCUGUAGUUUAGAUUCUAGGGCAUAUAAAUUCCUAAAUAUGACACGACUAUAGUAUCUAUUUAUAUCAAGAUCGUUGUAAUAGUAUAAUAUACAGAAAUUUAUCCAUUGCAAUCCCUAUAGUGUGGCUACACGUAGUUACAUGUAGCUGGGCAGUUCUGCACAUUAGAAUAAUGGAGUUUCAUGACUACUACUAGAUAGUAGAUAUGACAAAGAAUGUUUGAAAACCACAAUAUAGUCUAAUAUGAUAACCAGUGAAUUGUGCUGGUCCUAUUACUUGCUUGGUGGUAAGCAAAAUUAAUUGUGAAUUCUUGCACUUGAGUCAAUAUUGUGAUGUUUUCAUGAAAAUAUAUUUUGUUUACUUCUGGUAUUGGGAAAGGCAAUGUUGAGGGAUACAUUUUCGAAGAAACUGGAUUGCAGCUGAUGAAAAUUUGGGCGACUGUUAAGUCAGAAGGAUAGUAGGUGAAGAAUUUUGGGGGGAAUUUUUUAUUCUAUUCUAAUUGAAUUGAUCUUUACAAGGUUUGAGUAUUUAUAAACAAAGAAUCAAUCUAAAUUAGGAAUAUUUACAAUAAGAAUAAAAUCCCUUAAAUCAAGUCUAAUUCCCAAUUUGAAUCCUCCUAAUUAGUAACAUUCUAUGUUGGUCAACGGUAGGUAUCCUUGUUAGAAUCUAGAAUACAAAGGUCAAUGCACAAUAUGAAUCAAUUUCAAGCCCUUUACCAUAUUCAUGUGGGAUUUCACAACUACCCUUCUGAUGUUGGCUCAACAAGAAUGGAUGGGCUGUAAGCCUGUAACCCAGCACGUAAACAUAUCUUUGGAGUUCUGGCAAACCAAUUCAGCUGUGGUACUAUGAUAGAGAAUUCAACCAGAGGUUUAACUUUUGGGUGGAGAAUCUGGAGAUGUUGAUGUGAGAGUGAGACUACCAACUUGGUCAUUCUCUGAAUUUUUGUUUUAACCACAUGAUAGAUAACCACAAGCUGUCUGUAUCUCAAAAUGGCCAACUACGCUGGGGGCACCCAUUUGAUGUUAUUUUUAACUCAUGGAAACUUCACACUCACGAUUGUGAUGCUGGGGGUUGAUUGUAUUUAGUGUCAAUAGGAUAGGUUAAGAUAGUUAAGUUGCGCAAUUUUUCUGCUAAUAAUGCUGCAUAAUUUCUGGGUUGGCCUUUCUGCCAGUUGCGCAUAAUAUAUUAUUAAGUCGUAGUCUGUCAAUUCUCUUUUCCUUUAAUGUAAUUGAAAUGUUAUUUCUUGCAUUGCACACACUUUUCAGGUUAUUCCUUGGCAUUG